GCAGUGCGUGUCGUGUUACUGCGCUCGGGCUGCGGGUUCACCGACAUACGAGUCCUGCAGGGAUCAGAUCAGGUCGUAUCCAUUAAUAGAUCAGUGCCGGCUGCUUCACCGAGGGUCCCGCUCUAACCGCACUGAACACGCUGCGUCGAUCCACAUGCAGGCAUUUCCCUCACCGAAGUGGCAGCAGACUGAUGUGACUCUGAGACUCUUUUCCCCCCAAGAUACCAACUACUCUGCUUGAAAGAACCUCCACAGACGAGCCAAGAGUCCGUAUGGGAUUUCUUUGCUCUCGAUAACAGGAAAUGCAGGAUACUAACUGGGAUUAACAGCAGGCUUUGCUUGACAUCAAUUUCUCCUUCCUUUCGUUUUGUAUGGGACGAAUCCGAGAGACCAGGAGACUCGCUGGACGUACGUUUGCUUCCUCCUGUGUCAGAGGAUGAUGAGGUGUUAAAGUUAAAGCUGAAGUCUGAGACAGGUCGCUGGACGACACUGAAAAUACAACCUCGGCGCAGCAGAGGUGAGUACACCUGUGAACGCUAGCGCAACACGGCUCCCCGUGGUGAGAAACCAGACCGUGGGACUUCAGAAAGACGGAGAGGGGACGGGAGCAUCAGUGGGGCUGCGGCCGUGGUGAGGAGGUACAGGAAGAGCAUCGGUCUCCCUCGAAAAAUGACGCCACAAGGAUUCUCCGUCGGUGACGGAUCCCACGGCGAGCAGGACACGGCAGGAAGUCCACCUCUACGGGCGGUGGCCGGAGGAACAUGAGAAGAAGCCCGAUGGAGGUUGGCAGCAGGUUCUCUGUUCACGUGAAACGAAAAGAAAUCAGUCCGGACCAGAUGUGGACCACCACAGUGACUGAACAGUGCUGACCGUCAACCUUAAAGACGUACACGAGUUUGACUAGUUGAGUCAUAACUCAGUCAGAUCUGAACACACAGACAUGAGACACACAUUUUUUGAUUCAGUGUGACGUCCGCUUCCUGACGAUGUCAUGAUCUCUGAUGUCCCUCCAGGAUAAAGCU